AUGAAGAUGGAUUCCGGAACCCAGGCUGUCCAUCCCACUUUGGCACACCCAGAGAUGGGGGUGCUGAGAUCUGGCAGGAUUCAUGACUGCAGGAAAAGGCUGCUGGAAAAGCUGGAGAGAAGAAGGGAUUAUUCAGCAAAAGGAACCAAGGUGACUUAUGAUCUAUGUGAUGAACACACCGAUCAGGAGGAAAACUCAAAUAAACCUAAUGAUGUGGCCAGAGGCUUUUGGAGAAAGAACUCCAGAAAGCAUGAGGUAGCAGGCUUCUGAAGAAUCCCAUUGCACUCAAGAAAAACACUAAAAGGAUAACUGUAUUAUUGAGCAAGCUACAGAUGAAGUUCCUCCAAGUUUGGAGGACAUCUCCCAUUUACUCCUCUUGUCCUGGCAUGGUUAUUAAUCACCCCACUUUUGCUCUCAGGAUGCCCUAAUUUGCACAAUAAAUUAUAUGCCACUUUAACUAUGACCACAGGCAAUACUCAAAACAGCUCCUUCCUUCCAGUCCCAAAUGCCAGCAUUGUUUCUGGCCUUUCUGUGAAACUCCCAGGGUUUCACAAGAGAGUAUGGUAGUUUAUCCCCCUUGAAAUUACCAUAUCAAAUCAAAAAUGAUAAUAAGCAAAAAGGAAACUUCCAGCCAGCCACCCCAAGUCAAGCUUCUUCGGGGGCAGUGACUGCUGGAUGGUGCCACCUCAUGGGAAGAAUUGGUCCUGCACAGGACCUGAGUUUCCAGUAUGCUUGUGACAGCUGAUAUCUACCAAGCGCUUGCACACCACAGACUCCACUCUCCCAUCAUCCCAUCACUCUAUAGAAAAGGAGUUAGAGGAGAGAAGGCCAGGGAAUCCAUCCCAAGCCAUUCAAAUGGCAUCAAAGACUAAGCUAGGAGGCUAGGGAGAUGACUUGAUUGAUAGAAUUUUUACUAUGAAAGCAUGAGGACCUGAGUUAGGAUACCAGCACCCACUUAAAACUUGGUAAUCCCCCAGUACAGAGGAGGGUACUGGGGGCUCCCUAGACAGUAAAGCAAGAUCCAAAACUAACUCAAUAAGAUGGAAAAGACUAAGGUGGGAUAUAAUCCCAGCUUGUCUGCUUGGCCUAUACACUUAACAGCUAGUUCACCUAGUGUUUAAUGGGCAUUCCCCACCACCCCUUGUAGUUCUGGGGUACAACCCAGAGCCACAAACAUGUUAAACAAAUGCUCUACCACUAAGCC
rnacentral:lncRNA from 1 species